rnacentral:tRNA from 1 species
GCGCCUAUAGCUCAGAGGAUAGAGCGCCGGCCUCCGGAGCCGGGCGCCCAGGUUCGACUCCUGGUAGGCGCACCA